UCCCACUAAGCUUAAUGGAGUCUGGACCUUACCAAGAUGGUGUCAACCCCUCCCAACUUUCUGAUUUAUGAACUUUGAAAAUCUUCCCUCCUAUUACAAACUUCAGAGACAGUCUUUGGUAUACUAAAUGGCUAAUUUAUUUCUUGGGAAAGAAAGAUAAAAGGGGAAAAGAGAAUGAAGUUCAAUUAAAUGAUGAGACUAUUGAAGUCUGAGGCCACUUUGAAAGACUUCAGAACUCUAAAAAUGCAAUAGCCAAUGAUGACUCCAAAGCAUCAAAGAUGAAGACAAAAUCCCCAUUCCAACAGAAAGGUUAAAGAUAUAAAAUUCCAAAUGUAUCUUACAUUUUGGGACAUGACCAACAUAAAGCUUUUUGCUCAUAUUUUUUGAUUGAUAUGGUUUUCUUUUUUUUUUAAAUUAUUUAGUUGGGGUAGAAGGGGUGGGAGAGAAAAUAAAUUGUUAAUCAGGAUGAUUAUACA
rnacentral:lncRNA from 1 species